CAUACAGGCACAGUAAUCAUAACGCAAGAAGUGCAGCACCGGCGCACCGGCUCGACAACGCGGCGCUCCUCAUCAUCGCCCCUCAACAUCCUCCCGCUCGCUCUCCUACCGGCACGCAGCCCAGUCGGUGGCAAAGGGGGUCGCCCACCAUCGCCACCACUGCACGGGAAACGAAAGGUGGAAGGGGGGGUCCAUGCCCGGGAGCGUGUGUGCGUGUGCGCGUGUUUCCUUGCUCUUUGAGAGAGGAGGGAGAAGGUUGGGGGCUUUUAUUCGCAUCUGCAUGCUGUGCGAGGCAGCGCCAUCACCACCACCUCUCCCUCGCCUACUUCGCACAUAGAUCGACCUCAAACUAUCCUCCGUCAUCACAGAGCAAGCGGCGCUGCAUCGUUUUGUGUGUGUAGAAGCUCGCCUCUUCGCUGUCGCCUCCCUCUCCUUUGAAUGUGCCCAUCCACGUCUUCUGCGUUGUUUCUUCAUCUUUUCCGCCCUCCGCACGGCCCCUCGCGUCUGCCUAUCUGGAGCGGUCAUUAGCGACAGGUACGGAGCCGGUGCUCAGGCGGGAGCUCCGUGACGCGUUGAGCACACGAACGCAUCCACGUAUUGCCUUAUUCUUCGCCAGCGUGCCGCUCAACAAGAAAAGGACUACAUGCACGAGAAGCACACGCGGGAGUAGUUGGAUUUCGCGACGAAGAUGUCGUACGAUACGAACCUGCAUCGCACCUUUGACUACCAGCUAUCCCCUGCGCCGCUGCGCAUCAUCGACUGGGCCCCGGUGAAGGCCGUCGCUCGGUCAGUGUUUCAGCCCGGCCAAGGCGCCAAGGAGUUCACGCUUGUCAAUGACGCCACAUCAAACGCGUCCUCCGUGGCGGCGGCAUACGCGCAGCAGGAGAAUCAGCGUCGCGUCCACGAAAGCCGCGAGUCCUCGGCCUCCCUGUCCACACCCGCGGCUACAGCCGAUGCGGCAGCGCCCGCGGGGCCGCUCUCUGCCAUUGGGGAGUUGGCCGCGUCGGAGUUUCCGGGCCUCUCCGCGGCAUCGCCGUAUUACACCCCCGGAAUGAACAGCGGUGCGGCAGCCGCGGCGGGAUGCGGUGGCGGUGGCCACGCAGAGCUCGACGCCCUGCAUGUAGAUGAUGCGCUGCCACAGCAGCAGCAGCAGCAACGACAGCAGUCGGAUACGUGGGCAGCCACACCCGGUGAACCGGCCGGGGGGGCGGCCACUGGCAACGCCACGGCAACAUCAGAGGCGCUGAAGCACACGGUUGCCUCGUCGACUGAGACGAUGAGUGCUGUGGCGGUACCGGCAACAGCAGUCUUGGUAAACGGCAGCGGCACCGGCACGCCUGCAGCCGUCAUGGAUAGUGCCCAGCGGCCACGCACGUCCUCGCCGUUGGUAGCGCCACCGCUGCUGGCGAAGGGGGUGUCGCAGUACAGUGCUGCAGGCAUGAUGUACGGCUUCGACGCGGUGUACCACAAGGACUCCUUUGGCGUUCUGGCGGGCCUUUUCACCGGUGUCGGGUAUCACCAGGUGAACACACACUAUCGGCAAGAGCUGCCGGCGGCACCGCGGCGUACAGAGCCGGCAAAGGGCGAGCACGGGGGUUGGGCUGGGACACUAGGAACAGCAGCAAGGACGUCACCGGUUGUGGCUACGUCAGCUGUCCCGACACCGCGGUCCGGCUCGACGACGAGGGUCGCUGUGAAUCGCAGCUCCUCGGAGUCAGGGCCCAGCGGUGCCGUGGACGCCGCCGUGGUGCCCGGCGCCGUGGAGCUGCAGGCAGCAGAGAACAGCGCGCCGUCUCCACCACCCACGCUGCAGCCGCGGCUGGAACAGGUGAUCGCUUCUCAACGCCACGGUCAGCUACAGGUCUACAACGCGCUUCAGGCGUUCUGGUACUGGGGUGCGCGGCGGUGGACCGGGGUGCUGAACGUUCGUGUCACGCCGCUACCGUCCGGGGAUGCGCUGCUGCCGGUGUGCGAGUACGUAGCACGCACGGUGAUGACGGAGUGCUCCCUUGUGAUCGACGACCCUGUCGUGUACCUUCACGGCUUCGUCGUGAUGCUGGGACGGCGCGCACGGGCUGCGGAGGAACUGGGUAGCGGCCACAGCACCGGUACCGCUGUCGUGGGGGCCGAGGUGCAGAGCUGCAAUGAGCUAUGCCGGGCAGGGUCGAGGCACCCCCUCGAAGCCGUCGCAGCAGCGUCUCUCGCAGACGAGGCCAUCGGCACGGCUAUCACCGGUGCUCAGCACCAUCCAGCAGAAGGAACUGGCCACCUCUCCGUGCCCCCCGCGCCGGGGGCGCACAGGGACAGCAUACAGUCGAGGGCAGGUAGGCCAACUGGGGGGGGCACCGCAGCUGGCCCACCAGGCAACGCAGGUGUAGCGAGCAUUUCGUUCUCCCCUAAUGCGACUCCAUCGCCGCCAGACAGACACUCACCGGCGAUGUCGUCCGCCCAGCACAAGCACAGAAGUCCUCCCACCGCUUGCACGGCCGCCGCCUCGGAUCACGCGCACAACGCAGCGCGAUAUGGCGUCGCAGUUCCACCAGACGCCGCUGCCGUCGACAACGCUGGCGGGGCGCCGCUGCCUGAGUGGCUCUACUGGUAUCAGCGGUGCGCACUAGAGACGACGGAUGAGUGGCUUUGGAACCGCGCGGCGUCCGAGGUGGCCGACGACGCUGCGCGCUCCGCCACGCCAUGGUGGAAGCCGCGCCACAUCAAAAUGGGCGUCGGGCUGGCGCUUCGCUACCGCAAGCCUCGCGGCGUGAAUGUGUAUUGGGGCUGGAGUGCACGAGUGGGGCGCGGCAUGCACUUAUCCGGUCACAUUGAUGUGCUGCGUCGCAUGAGCUGCGCGGUCAGCUCUACUUUCGGGUUCCUCGACGUGAGUGUUCGGCUCCGCGUGAACCUCGUCACGCUUCACCAGACGGCCCUGGACGCGGGCGUGUGCUGGCGGCCCAUGCCGCAGGUGCCGGAGUUUGCCGUUCGGCUGGCGACUUCGGCCAACGGCACGACGCUCGGAGUCGAGGUUGCGGACGUGGCACCCACGCUCUACGGUCCUGUCAUUGCGCGGUUGUCGGAUUGGCGCUCACGGCGCCAUCACGCAGAAGCAACUGAACCAUGUAAGGGUAUUGGGGGCAGUGGAGAGGACUGCGUGGCCGGCUCUGACCAGAGCAGCGUCAGUGGCGGCGCUCCUACUGGCGUCGCAGACGGCAGUCGGGAAGAUCUCGUAGGGCUUCUGCCUAUCACGUGGCACUACUUGCAGAGCACUGGGUCAACCAUCACUUCAGCCUUUACCAGUGUCAAGGGUGCUCUCACGAACACGCUGGCAUCGGUGUCAUCUGCAAGCAGCGGCGCCGGCAGUAGUUGCGGUGGCGGUAACGCAGCGAACACCCCUGCAGCACAAGGCAGUGUGUCCGAUGUGCGGCGUCGACCUGCGCUGCUCUCUGCCACCCCUACGCUCACCACUCCUGCGACGUCACCAACGCUACCAGUGGGACACAAGUUAUCCCGCGUCGUGCUCCCGGCUGGGAAAGCAAGCCUGCGCUACGCCCGCAACGCAUGGCACGCGCUCGCGGACCUUGGAUGGUUGGAGAACAUGCUCUCCAUAUCCCACGUGAAUGUGUCGAUGGGCGUGACGUCGGAGCCGAGCAACCGGCACCGCGAGUGGAGUCUGUUCCUCAUAAUCAGCGAGAAGUGAAGUGGCGUGGUGGGCGUCGUAGCAGAGGAGACGAGCAAUGACCCUCACCACCACCACCAGGGCAAGGAGAGGAGCGGCAAGAGUGGAUGCACUCCCCGCCCCACCCCCUCUCUCUUCAUACGUUAUCCUUUGUCAUUCCCUUGCGUUUGUGUGUGUGUGUGUGUGCGUAGGCGUGCGUUUG
rnacentral:misc_RNA from 1 species